rnacentral:lncRNA from 1 species
UGAGAGGAAAUUUCUGAGAGUGAGGUGAGGAAUCUGAGAGAGUGAAUGUGUGAGGGAAGCGGAAAGGGUUUACUGAGUGUGUGAGCUCAUGUGUUGGUGUGAGGGAGCGAGGUCUGUGAGAGAUUUUCGUGAGAGAGAACAAGGAAUAUUUAUUUAUUUUUUGUAACGUCUUUUUUCUGAGAGAGAGAUAUCAAGUGAGUGAGUGAAGUAGUCAUGCGUGUGGAGAGUUUGUUGAGAUUUUGUACAGAAUGGAGAGAGAUUUUGAUGAUCUUUUUUUGUUUUUUU